rnacentral:lncRNA from 1 species
CAGGACAUGAACCGUUCCUUUUGUCCAGCAUAUUCAUGCUGUGUACACUACCUGCCUCAGUUGUCAGAUUGACUAUGGCAGUAUUGCAGUGCUGUAUUCAUUACCCCUAAUAUAGAAGUUCAAUUCUACAUUACAGUACUUGUUCAGUUUUCUCCAUGUCAUCAUGUAGACACUGUAUCAUCAUGUCUCAUCAUAAGGGUCAGACUCCUCCGUGAUCCAAACCUGCAUGCCUAACUGUACCUGGACAUCUCCACAUGGCUGUGUCAUCAGCAUCUCACAGUCAACGUGUUCAGAAUCGCACUGAUGUUCUCCAAGCCCAGAUUUGCUCUCCCUGCUCAAGCUUCAGACUUCACGACAGGCUCCAUUCCCUGCCCAUUCAGAAACCUGGAAGAUUCCAUGGAUUCUUCCUUUUUAUUUGCAUCCACACUCCAUUGAAGUUUAAGCCCUGCCCACUCCUUGUUUCUGAUGUCUCAUGAGCCCAUUCUAUUCUGUGUUCUCUAUCCAAAGUCAUUGUCUUGUUAGAGUCACAUUUCUUGGCCCGGUCCAAGGGAAUGGUUUUCUAAAUAGGCUCAAUGCCUCGUCUUUUUCUUUUAAGAUCAUUGUAUGGCAGUGUCUGAUGUUCUGUCUCAAAAUCCAUUAGUAACUUUCUGUUAAAUUUAGGAUAAAAUACAAAGCUCUUUACCCUCUGGUGUUUACCUUUCCUUCCAUCUUGAUCUCUAGUCUGUGCCCACACACGGAAAUGCUUGUUGUUCUUUUGAUAGGCUGUGUUCUCAAGCUACUUUUCUUUUAAGACACUUUUUAUUCAUUCAAAAGAUGUGUAUUGAACACUUAUUAAAAGCCUGCAUGCUAUACCAUGUUUCUACUCUCAUGGCCGUACAUUCUAGCCAGGGAGACAGAAAGUAAACAUGUGGACAUAGAGGAUCAUAUAUGUAAUGAUAUAUGUCAUCAAGAAAACAAGUGGACAAUAAAACAUCAAGAAUCUGGA